ACUCGGUCUCUAGGGUUUCUUCAUUUCUGGUUUAGUUACAAGUACAUCUUCUUCUUCUUCUUCUUAGGUUGCCUGAGAUUCUCAUGUUUCGAAAAUGGAGUGUUCGAUUAUGGAGCCCGACCUUCCCCUACACGCGCUGGCUAGGGAUCUUCAGAGGCCGUCGAUGGGCCCAAGCCCUCACACGACACCAGAGGUGAACGACGACAUCGGAGACCAGCUAGCUCCAUCAGACUUCAGUUCAGUCAUUCUUCGUCGCCCAGGGUUUCUUGACUGCCUUUCUCUUUCUCUCACUCAGGGUUUCUCCAAUUUGUGUCCCUCUCUCAAUUACAGUAAGCUUUUUUUUUAAUAUCCAUUUUUGUAUUUAUGGGGUAUUUUUAUGCUCCGAUCACUCUGUUGUGCUCAUAAUUUAUUGUGUUUUUUUUUUCCGGUCUCACUUCAUUACAAAUAUGGUUGGAAAAAGUUGAUUUAGGGCUUGAAAGCUGCGCAAGAUGGAGUUUCUAAGCAGAAAAAACUGACAAGUGCAUUUGAUAAUGAAUGUAUGAAACUGCGGCAAACUAGUGAACAUGAGGCUCCACAAGAGGUUGCAGGAGCUAGUAACAUAGAUCUACUCCAUCCUUCCACCAUGCCAGUGACAUCAACUGUUCAAACACCACUGUUGUUUAGAGGCACCCUUAAAGAAUAUCAUCUGAAAGGUCUUCAGUGGCUGGUCAAUUGUUAUGAGCAGGUUGAUAAAUGCAACACAUAUUUAAAUUAUACAUAUAAUUUCUCCUUUCUGUUUUUUAUUUUUCUUCUUUUUCCGACUGUUUAUUUGGGAAGUUUUGUCAUUUGUAGGGUUUGAAUGGCAUUCUUGCUGAUGAGAUGGGCCUCGGAAAAACCAUUAAGGUUAUGGAAUUUUUGGCUCAUCUAGCGGAAGUAAUUACUUAGCUUGGUGUCUGGCUUUUCUUUGGUGUAACUUGGGAUUCUAACUUUAAUUUUUUAAAUUUCUAUUUUUAAUUCAGGAUAAAAAUAUAUGGGGACUUUUUCUUGUUGUUGCUCCUGCAUCUGUAUUGAACAACUGGGCAGAUGAAAUUACCCGCUUUUGCCCUGACUUGAAAACUCUUCCAUAUUGGGGUGGGCUUCCGGACCGUACAGUUCUGAGGAAAAAAAUCAACCCGAAGACACUAUACCGCAGGGAUGCUGGGUUUCACAUUCUUAUCACUAGCUAUCAGCUACUUGUUUCUGAUGAGAAGUACUUUCGGCAGGUGAAAUGGCAAUAUA